UUGGUUGAUCCUGCCAGUAGUGUAUGCUUCUCCUAAAGACUAAGCCAUGCAUGCCCUGAAUAAGAGGAAGCAAUUCUCUCUGAAUCUGCGAACGGCUCCGCAAACCAGUUGUAAACUAGAGCAAGCAAGCCUGGCGGGCUUCGGCCUCCAGGUGAUAUGGAUAACCCUGGUAAUUCUGAGGCUAAUACAUGACCGCAAAACCGGGCAGCCCAGCAAUGGAUGCUCGGGGAUGUGCGAUAUGGCUUGACAAUAACCGGGAAAGGACGCACACUCAGACCGCGCUAAAAAGGAUCGGGACUCUCUUCGGAGAACCUGGCCCCUGCGGCUCUUGCUGUGUGCUUCUGACCUAUCAACUAGACGGCAGCGUAAUGGACAUGCUAUGGUGACAACGGGUACAGAGGAUUAGGGUUCGAUCCUGGAGAGUGGGCCUGAGAGAUUGCUCAUNNUUNUAAGGAAGGCAGCAGG
rnacentral:rRNA from 1 species